GCGAUCGUAGCUUAACUAAAGCAUAACACUGAAAAUGUUAAGACGGGCCUUAGAACGCCUCGGAAGCA
rnacentral:tRNA from 1 species